rnacentral:rRNA from 1 species
ACAGAGGGUGCGAGCGUUGUCCGGAAUCACUGGGCGUAAAGGGCGCGUAGGCGGCCUGGUAAGCAGGGGGUGAAAUUCUGCAGCUCAACCGCAGAGCUGCCUUCUGAACUGCCAGGCUGGAGCACGGUAGAGGCAGAUGGAAUUCCCGGUGUAGCGGUGGAAUGCGUAGAGAUCGAGAGGAACACCUGCGGCGAAGGCGGGUUGCUGGGCUGACACUGACGCUGAUGUGCGAAAGCUAGGGGAGCGAACGGGA